rnacentral:misc_RNA from 1 species
UGGAAGUAAAAGUCGUAACAAGGUUUCCGUAGGUGAACCUGCGGAAGGAUCAUUACCGAGUGCGGGUUCCAACGAGCCCAACCUCCCACCCGUGUUUACCAUGACCGCGUUGCCUCGGCGGGCCCACUGGGGCCUGGCCCCGGUCGCCGGGGGGCUUCUGCCCCCGGGUCCGCGCCCGCCGAAGCGCCCUGGAACCCUGUCUGAAUAGUGAGUCUGAGUCUAUGAUUAAAUCAUUAAAACUUUCAACAACGGAUCUCUUGGUUCCGGCAUCGAUGAAGAACGCAGCGAAAUGCGAUAAGUAAUGUGAAUUGCAGAAUUCCGUGAAUCAUCGAAUCUUUGAACGCACAUUGCGCCCCCUGGCAUUCCGGGGGGCAUGCCUGUCCGAGCGUCAUUUCUGCCCUCCAGCCCGGCUGGGUGUUGGGUGUUGUCCCCCCGGGGACACGCCCCAAAGGCAGUGGCGGCGCCGCGUCGGGUCCUCGAGCGUAUGGGGCUUUGUCACCCGCUCGGGACGGACUCGUCGGCGCUGGUCUUCCUCCAGGCGACCCUUCGGGGCCCGUCUACCUUCGGUUGACCUCGGAUCAGGUAGGGUUACCCGCUGAACUUAAGCAUAUCAAUAAGCGGAGGA